CUGAGCCUAAAAAGCUGCUUCCUGUGAGCCCACUUCACCUUUAGCAGCCUUGAAUCGUUUUGGCAAACUCCAUAGAAGAGUAAUGCAUGAACAAAGGACUCAUCCCUUCCGCAAUAAUUUCCCUUGCAUUCAAUAUGUGGUAAUGAUUAAUGGCAUAUAAAGACAGUUUGAAAAACAAAAACAUAUGUCAAGAAUUUCAUAACUUUUGGCAGUAAACAAUGCCUACCAAGCUAUACAUAUAGUUCCUUAAAACUGUGAAGUAUCUGAAAAGGAUGAACAAAAUUGGAAAACACCAGAUUCAUGCAAGUUUGCAAAGAAUCGACUAUCCCGG
rnacentral:lncRNA from 1 species